rnacentral:lncRNA from 1 species
CCCCGCCCCCCCGCGGGGGCAGGUGCACGGCGGCGGCGAUGGGCGCGGGGCACCGCCGCCCUGCCCCCCUCCUUUCCUCCCUCCGAUCCCCUCCCGUCCCCUCCCGCUGCUGCCGCCGCCCGCUCGGGGAUGGAGGCUGCGCCGGAUGGGACGGGGGCGGGGGUGCGAGGCUCCGGGCGGGCGCCGCUCGCCAUCCGCAUCCCGGCGGGGUCGGGGCGCGGCGGGUGCCCCGGGGGCUGCGGGAGCGGCCGGGCCCCGCGUCGCGCCCCGCAUGGGGCAUGCGCGCUCCCGGCGGCGCGGCGGGGCUGGGCCGCCCGGUGCUGACGGGACGGGGCCGGCGCGGCGCGGGCGGGGGACCCAGGGGUGCCCGCACGGUGUCCCCCCCGCCCCCCACCCCCUCCCUUCCCCGCCCGCACCCCCGGGGAGGACAGACAGACACGGACAGGCAGACAGACAGACACAGACCCCCGGGCACGGAGCGCACUAACCGUUCCCGUUUUCACCGGCACAUAAACCACCACUUGACCCAUCUUCGUCGCCUCCCUGGUGCCGUUUCCCAGGCGGAAGCCCUUGGACCGGACCCAGAACUGGAACUUGCCUUUCUCCCCCCCGCCGGAGCCGCUGCCGGAGCCGGAUCCCCCCUGCAGCACCUCGGCGAUGCGCUGCUCGCUGCGGACUCUGGCUGGGACAGAACAUCUGUCUGUUGCUAUGGCUGCAGUACACUUGAAGGGGAUGACUGGAUAAUUAUUGCAAACAUCCAUCCUGCCUGAUGUGCUCCCGGACCUCGCUGGCCCGAGUCAGGGGCAGCGGCCGGCAGCUCCAGAACCGGCCUUGGCCAUGGGGAUCCUACCUAGGGACUGUGCCUUGGCAACACCUUUUCAUUUACAUAAUUAAUGAGGCUGAGGCUGCAGGGCUCCUGGGAAAUCCGACGCAGAGCAGCAGCGAUGAAAUGGCACAGAGGGCUUGAGCCUUCACAGUGGCUCCGAGCUCUGCUCCCCGCUCUGGGGGCUGCCAGAGGGGAUGUUCUCCCAUUCCCAUUCAUUUACCGCCCACUUCUAUGUGAACAGAUUGCUCUGGGCCUGAUCCUGCACACACCUCCUGCAGGCGUGGGCUCUGGGUACAGUGCUGGGUGCCUGCCGGGCCCGGCCCUAUGCCUUGUGGGCUGUCCCUGUCUCAGCCUAUUCCCACGUCUGAAAUAACACAGCGAGAAAUGACACCGAGGUUCCCCAUCUGACUGGGUGCUGCUGCGUUCUUCGCCCAGCCACACAACUUCAAUGCGCCCAUUGUAUGGGUUUGUUUUAUUUUUUAUCUGUUUAUCAACAUGUGGAGGGACAGUGAGUCAGUGGGGGGAGAGCUGGGGCUGGGAUGAGCAUGGGUGUCCUCACCCAGGGCAGCAUCACGGUAUCACAGCAGGGACCCUCUGUGGGGCUCCCUGGGAGCCACCCUGUGCAGGACAGGGCAGACCUGUUUGUCCCAAUGCCUGACAUUGGCGAUAUGUAAUAAUCACAGAGUGCCAAGAAAUCAGAGCAGGACACAACAGAACUCAUGUCUGCUUCAUGCCCAGGGGUGGAAUCACUGCGGGGCACUCCCCAGGGCUGAUGACUUGCUGCGAUCUGGGGCAGAUCUGUGAGCCCCUGCAUGACCCCCUCCAAUGGGAGGGUGAUGGGGGGGCUGUGUGCUGCUCCUGGUCCUGUGUGAUCACUAUCGUCCCAGCAGUUUUGUGUAUGAUUCAAUAAACUCCUUUGCUUGCACA